GGUCGGUUAGCCAAGCGGUUAGGCAACGGUCUGCAAAACCGUCUAGAGCGGUUCGACUCCGCUAUCGACCU
rnacentral:tRNA from 1 species